GCAAAAGUCUGACACUGAAGGCUCCCAUGAGAACUCCAGGCGUGGAGGAGUAGGAUCUGUGGUGUAAAAUCUACCCUCUUUGGUUACACCGUGAAUAAAGGACUGAGCAGAGCCAAAUAGAAGAAAAUGGGCUACUUAUGGUCCCUUGGGCUAGAAGGAAGCCAAGCAAAAGAGAAAGAAUCCCAAGGUUACUGAGUCUGACUUUUAAGAAGCAACCAUAAAAGCAAAACAUUAGGAUGAUUUGUCAUCAUACUUCGAAAGUGAUGAUGAGAAACCUUGUUCUAAGUAGUUACAACAAAGCUACCCCAUCUCAUUGUCCUGGGGGGAUUAAAUGUCAAAUUAAAUAGUAGAUCUUGGACUACUCUCCGUAUUUGAUUUAUGAGACUAUUGUGUACUGGAAUAAUUGUGAGAAUUCCAAAGGAUACAGGGAGGCUUUGGGUAAAACA
rnacentral:lncRNA from 1 species